rnacentral:miRNA from 14 species
UGUGGCUUUGUUGGAGGAAAUGUGUCACUGGGGGUGGGCUUUGAGGGUUCAGAUGCUCAAGCCAGGCCUGGUGUCUCCCUCUUCCUGCUGCCUGCUGAUCC